GUUAAGUGAUGACAUGACAAGCGAAGUAUCACGUUAUCACCCUCUUGUCAUAUUAUCACCUUUAAUGACAUACGUGUCAAUGAUUGAACGUGAUGAUGUGAUAUUCUGUUUGUCAUGUUAUCACCUAA
rnacentral:pre_miRNA from 1 species